GAUGGUAGAGGUCACCAAGAACCAGAGCAGAGCCGGUUUGGGAUUUCAACAAGGGUCGUCUGUGAUUAAGGUUGAAGAUGUGCAACCCAGUUUCCGUAGAGGAGGGUUCAUUCAUGGAAAUGAACAACACUUAGCUGUUGUGAUGGAAGGGGAUGAAAAUGAAGACAUCACCAAUUUUGUGACACAUGGAAAAGGUUGCAACAAAUAGAUUGAUGUCGAUGUUCCUGUUAUUAUGCAUCGUUCUAAG
rnacentral:lncRNA from 1 species